GAUGAACGCUGGCGGCGUGCUUAACACAUGCAAGUCGAACGGAAAGGCCCUGCUUGCUUGGUGUACUCGAGGGGCAAAGGGGGGCGUAACACGAGUACACCGGGCUCUACUCUUUGGUAGGACUUCACGAAAGGGGGGAUAAUCUCAUACAGGAGCCCCCCCAGCGGUGAGAGGAGGGGAAAUUUUCGGCGGUUGGGGAUGGACGCGCGGCUUAUCAGCUUGUUGGUGGGGUGGGGGCAGACCAACGCAGUGAAGGAUAGCCGGCCUGAGAGGGUGACCGGCCACAUUGGGACUGAGAUACGGCCCAGACUCCUACGGGAGGCAGCAGUGGGGAAUAUUGCACAAUGGGCGCAAGCCUGAUGCAGAGACGCCGCGUGCGGGAUGACGGCCUUCGGGUUGUAAACCGCUUUCGGUUGUGACGAAGCGAGAGUGACGGUACCGGAAGAAGAAGCACCGGCUAACUACGUG
rnacentral:rRNA from 1 species